UACGAAGGGUGCAAGCGUUACUCGGAAUUACUGGGCGUAAAGGGUGCGUAGGUGGUUGUUUAAGUCUGCUGUGAAAGCCCCGGGCUCAACCUGGGAAUGGCAGUGGAUACUGGACAGCUAGAGUGCGGUAGAGGGUAGUGGAAUUCCCGGUGUAGCAGUGAAAUGCGUAGAGAUCGGGAGGAACACCUGUGGCGAAAGCGGCUCACUGGACCACAACUGACGCUGAGGCGCGAAAGCUAGGGGAGCAAACAGG
rnacentral:rRNA from 1 species